GACCCUGGCUCAGGAUGAACGCUAGCUACAGGCUUAACACAUGCAAGUCGAGGGGCAGCAUGGUCUUAGCUUGCUAAGGCCGAUGGCGACCGGCGCACGGGUGAGUAACGCGUAUCCAACCUGCCUUACACUCUUGGACAGCCUUCUGAAAGGGAGAUUAAUACAAGAUGUUAUCAUGAGUAAGCAUUUUCGCAUGAUUAAAGGUUUACCGGUGUAAGAUGGGGAUGCGUUCCA
rnacentral:rRNA from 1 species